rnacentral:rRNA from 1 species
CCUACGGGAGGCUGCAGUGGGGAAUCUUCCUCAAUGGGCGAAAGCCUGACGCAGCAACGCCGCGUGAUCGAAUGAAGGCCUUCGGGUUGUAAAGAUCUUUUGUCAGGGACCAAUAAGCAGUGCGAAUAGUUUUAUGUAUGACGGUACAUGAUUAGAAAGCGCCGGCUAACUACGUGCCAGCAGCCGCGGUCAUACGUAGGGAGCAAUCGUUGUCCGGAAUUACUGGGCGUAAAGGGCGCGUAGGUGGGCGUAUAAGUCAGGUGAGAAAACUCCGGGAUCAACCUGGGGACUGCACUUGAAACUGGGUGUCGUGAGUGCAGGAGAGGAAAGUGGAAUUCGUGGUGUAGCGGUGAAAUGCGUAGAUAUUAGGAGGAACACCAGUGGCGAAGGCGACUUUCUGGACUGUAACUGACGCUGAGGCGCGAAAGCGUGGGUAGCGAACGGGAUUAGAUACCCGUGUAGUC